GAUGAACGCUGGCGGCGUGCCUAAUACAUGCAAGUCGAGCGAACAGACGAGGAGCUUGCUCCUCUGACUUUAUCGGCGGACGGGUCAGUAACACGUGUAUAACCUACCUAUAAGACUGGGAUAACUUCGGGAAACCGUAGCUAAUACCGGAUAAUUUAUUGAACUGCAUUGUUCAAUAGUUAAAUACGGUUGUUCUUUCACUUAUAGAUUGAUCAGCGCCGCAUUAGCUAGUUGGUAAGGUAACGGCUUACCAAGGCAACGAUGCGUAGCCGACCUGAGAGGGUGAUCGGCCACACUGGAAGUGAGAAACAGUCCAGACUCCUACGGGAGGCAGCAGCAGGGAAUCUUCCGCAAUGGGCGAAAGCCUGACGGAGCAACGCCGCGUGAGUGAUGAAGGUCUUCGGAUCGUAAAGCUCUGUUAUUAGGGAAGAACAAAUGUGUAAGUAACUAUGCACGUCUUGACGGUACCUAAUCAGAAAGCCACGGCUAACUACGUG
rnacentral:rRNA from 1 species